UACGGAGGGUGCAAGCGUUAAUCGGAAUUACUGGGCGUAAAGAGUGCGUAGGCGGUUGUUUAAGUCGGAUGUGAAAGCCCUGGGCUCAACCUGGGAACUGCAUCCGAUACUGGGCAACUAGAAUCUGGGAGAGGGGAGUGGAAUUUCCGGUGUAGCGGUGAAAUGCAUAGAGAUCGGAAGGAACACCAGUGGCGAAGGCGACUCCCUGGACCAAGAUUGACGCUGAGGCACGAAAGCGUGGGUAGCAAACAGG
rnacentral:rRNA from 1 species